AUUGAACGCUGGCGGCAUGCCUUACACAUGCAAGUCGAACGGCAGCACGGGAGCUUGCUCCUGGUGGCGAGUGGCGAACGGGUGAGUAAUACAUCGGAACGUACCCUGGAGUGGGGGAUAACGUAGCGAACGUUACGCUAAUACCGCAUAUUCUGUGAGCAGGAAAGAGGGGGAUCGCAAGACCUCUUGCUUUAGGAGCGGCCGAUGUCGGCUUAGCUAGUUGGUGCGGUAAAGGCUCACCAAGGCGACGAUCCGUAGCGGGUCUGAGAGGAUGAUCCGCCACACUGGGACUGAGACACGGCCCAGACUCCGACGGGAGGCAGCAGUGGGGAAUUUUGGACAAUGGGCGCAAGCCUGAUCCAGCCAUGCCGCGUGAGUGAAGAAGGCCUUCGGGUUGUAAAGCUCUUUCGGUGGGGAAGAAAUUGCUUCGGAUAAUACCUGGAGUAGAUGACGGUACCCGCAUAAGAAGCACCGGCUAACUACGUGCCAGCCGCCGCGGUAAUAC
rnacentral:rRNA from 1 species